GUGCCAGCCGCCGCGGUAAGACGGAGGGCGCAAGCGUUGUUCGGAAUUACUGGGCGUAAAGCGCGGGCAGGUGGUCUGUUAAGUCUUUUGUGAAACUCCGGGGCUCAACUCCGGACAUGCAGAAGAUACUGGCGGACUGGAGACCGGUAGAGGCCAGUGGAAUUCCUGGUGUAGCGGUGGAAUGUGUAGAUAUCAGGAAGAACACCGGUGGCGAAGGCGGCUGGCUGGGCCGUGUCUGACACUCAUCCGCGAAAGCGUGGGGAGCAAACAGGAUUAGAUACCCUGGUAGUCCACGCCGUAAACGAGGGGCACUAGGUGCCGGGCCUAUAGACGGGUUCGGUGCCGGAGCUAACGCAUUAAGUGCCCCGCCUGGGGACUACGGCCGCAAGGCUGAAACUCAAAUAAAUUGACGG
rnacentral:rRNA from 1 species